GUGAGGUGUGGGCUGCGGGUAUGGUGAGGAUUUAUAAACAUAUGUUUUAGUUUGUUGGGCCACCAUUUCGUAUGUGUUUGUACGUGCGGGGCUUUUCUUGUCUCUCUUUAAUUGUGCCUAAUGACGUGGAUACGAGUACGCACAUACUCGUAAAUAAAACUGUUGUCUGUCCCUUUCAACAUUACGAGUUAUUGUUGCCAGCGACCAAACAAAACGCUGCAAAUGGUUAAG
rnacentral:lncRNA from 1 species